GCCGGGGUAGCUCAGCGGCAGAGCAGCUGUUUCGUAAACAGCAGGUCGUGGGUUCGAAUCCCAUCCCCGGCU
rnacentral:tRNA from 1 species